rnacentral:rRNA from 1 species
UACGUAGGGGGCAAGCGUUGUCCGGAUUUAUUGGGCGUAAAGAGCGUGUAGGCGGUCAGGUAGGUCGGUUGUGAAAACUGGAGGCUCAACCUUCAGAGGUCGACCGAAACCCCCUGGCUAGAGUCCGGGAGAGGAGAGUGGAAUUCCUGGUGUAGCGGUGAAAUGCGCAGAUAUCAGGAAGAACACCCGUGGCGAAAGCGGCUCUCUGGAACGGUACUGACGCUGAGACGCGAAAGCGUGGGGAGCGAAACAGG